rnacentral:rRNA from 1 species
GCUUACGGCCAUACCACCCUGAGAACGCCCGAUUUCGUCUAAUCUCGGAAGCUAAGCAGGGUCGGGCCUGGUUAGUACUUGGAUGGGAGACCGCCUGGGAAUACCAGGUGCUGUAAGCU